rnacentral:rRNA from 1 species
AUACGGAGGAUCCGAGCGUUAUCCGGAUUUAUUGGGCUUAAAGGGUGCGCAGGCGGCCAUUUAAGUCAGCGGUUAAAUCGUGGGGCUCCACCCCAUUCUGCCGUUGAUACUGGGUGGCUUGAUUGCGGUCGAGGUUGGCGGAAUUCGUUGUGUUGCGGGGAAAUGCAUAGAUAUGACGAAGAACACCGAUUGCGUAGGCAGCUGACCAGAUCGCAAAUGACGCUCAUGCACGAAAGUGCGGGGAUCGAACAGGAUUAGAUACCCUGGUAGUCCGCACAGUAAACGAUGAAUACUUGUUUUCGGCGAUAUAAUGUCGGAGGCAAAGCGAAAGCGAUAAGUAUUCCACCUGGGGAGUACGCCGGCAACGGUGAAACUCAAAUGAAUUGACGGGG